GCUUAUCCCAUGCAUUAGAUUUUCUAAUUGUAAACCACUGGGAUUCUGUUUCGACUACAAGUAGGAAAUCAUGAUUUGUGAAUGUGAUUAUCACCGUUUUGUGAUAGCUGGUGUUUACUAUUGUUAUAUUUUGAAUUUUACCCCUGAUUGUGCACUUCAACAUAUCGUCCAGUUUUGUGUUAAGAAUGGUGUGGUUGUAUUUGUUCAUUGUUAGACUUGUGAGUGUGGGUUUAUCAGUUUGUUUUAGGUCACAGCGAAUAAUUUCCUGCUGGCUGCUAUGCUGUUGUUGUUUAUUUCUAAUUUGGGUAACAAUUUAAUUUGGGUUUAUGUUGAUGUUAUACUGAUCGUUCUUUCAAUUCGAUUAUAUUGUUUUGUGUUUAAAGAUUGGGAUUAUCACAUUGAAAAUUUUGAGUGGAUUACUGGACAUUUAUUUUCAGCUAAGUGUACCUGUUGAAAUUCUUGUGGAUGUGAGCACCAUUACAGGUCGAUUAUUUGAUGUCCAGUAUUUACAGUUUACAGGUUAUUUGAUGUCCCGUAUUUACAGGUUAUAGAAUAUUACUUAGUUUUGUAAGUAGAUGGUGGGAUAUCAAGAAUAUUGUGCGUGCCUGGCUAAGCUAAAAGUUAAGAAAUUCAGAUCAUGGGCCUCUAAAUCAAUGUUAAUACCCAUUUUUGUUUUCUCUUUGAACUUAAUUAAUUGAUUAAAAUCUUUAAAUAGUUUAAUUUCUAUUAAUCAAUUUUAAUUAACUUAAUUAUUUAAUUUAAUUAAAUAAUUUUGAUAAUNAAAUUCAAGGAGCAGUGAAAGCAUUGGCGAGAAUCAAAAGCAGAUGCGUCUUUACAUCCAAGAAGCUGUGUGUACGGAAAGCAUCACCGCAAUAACAUACGGAAGCGGCACAACGUCAUUUUAAGAAACCCAGCAAGCCGUAUCGGUGGGUUUCGCAUACCUUGUUCCUUUUCAUCAUACUAUAUGUUGUGGCUGUUUGUUUUAAUUCAUAUCCAUUUGAAAUCUGAAUUUUUUUUUGGAAGUUACUUUGAUUCUAGAAGUAAUUUGUAUGUUGGGUAGGUCCUUGACUUCGACUUCUAAGUUUGCUUAUUUCUGUUUGAAAGAUGGGACUGUUAAUUUUUUUUGAAGAAAAUGUGUAUAUGAUUGACAUGUUUAACAGUUAGAAAACGUGUCUGUUAUAACCUUUGCACUAUGUGGCCACUCUAAAUUCCAAUUGAAUUUCGUGGCUUAUCCCAUGCAUUAGAUUUUCUAAUUGUAAACCACUGGGAUUCUGUUUCGACUACAAGUAGGAAAUCAUGAUUUGUGAAUGUGAUUAUCACCGUUUUGUGAUAGCUGGUGUUUACUAUUGUUAUAUUUUGAAUUUUACCCCUGAUUGUGCACUUCAACAUAUCGUCCAGUUUUGUGUUAAGAAUGGUGUGGUUGUAUUUGUUCAUUGUUAGACUUGUGAGUGUGGGUUUAUCAGUUUGUUUUAGGUCACAGCGAAUAAUUUCCUGCUGGCUGCUAUGCUGUUGUUGUUUAUUUCUAAUUUGGGUAACAAUU
rnacentral:lncRNA from 1 species